AAAGUCGUAACAAGGUUUCCGUAGGUGAACCUGCGGAAGGAUCAUUAACAAAUUGAAUCCAAUUUGCUGCAACCGUGUUCUGUUUUGUCUUCUGGUAAGAUUAGUGGCAUUCAGUUACUUACUGAAUGAUGCUGCUUACCAGUCUUUUUAAAUCAUCCAUAUCUAACUUCUGACCUUUAAUUCGUGUGAGCAAUUGCAUGAAAUUAACUGAUACAACUGUUAACAACGGAUCACUCGGUUCUC
rnacentral:misc_RNA from 1 species